UAGGGAAUAUUGCACAAUGGGCGAAAGCCUGAUGCAGCAACGCCGCGUGCGCGAAGAAGGUCUUCGGAUCGUAAAGCGCUUUUUGGGGAGAUGAGGAAGGACAGUAUCCCCAGAAUAAGGCUCGGCUAACUACGUGCCAGCAGCCGCGGUAAAACGUAGGAGCCAAGCGUUAUCCGAAUUCACUGGGCGUAAAGCGCGUGCAGGCGGUCUGGUAAGUUGGAUGUGAAAUCUCCUGGCUCAACUGGGAGAGGCCGUUCAAUACUGUCAGACUAGAGGGCGACAGAGGGAGGUAGAAUUCCCGGUGUAGUGGUGAAAUGCGUAGAUAUCGGGAGGAAUACCAGAGGCGAAGGCGACCUUCUGGGUCGUACCUGACGCUCAGACGCGAAAGCUAGGGGAGCAAACGGGAUUAGAAACCCCGGUAGUCCUAGCCGUAAACGAUGUAGACUGGGUGUUGGCGGGGUAAAAGCCGUCAGUGCCGAAGCAAACGCGAUAAGUCUACCGCCUGGGGACUACGGCCGCAAGGUUA
rnacentral:rRNA from 1 species